CACGGGGGGAGCAAGCGUUGUUCGGAAUCACUGGGCGUAAAGGGCGUGUAGGCGGUCAGGUAAGUGGGAUGUGAAAUGCCUCGGCUCACCCGAGGCACUGCAUUCCAUACUGCUUGGCUUGAGUAUGGGAGAGGAUGAGGGAAUUCCUGGUGUAGCGGUGAAAUGCGUAGAUAUCAGGAGGAACACCGGUGGCGAAAGCGCUCAUCUGGCCCAAUACUGACGCUGAUGCGCGAAAGCUAGGGGAGCAAACGGG
rnacentral:rRNA from 1 species